rnacentral:rRNA from 1 species
UUGGGAAUAUUGGACAAUGGGGGAAACCCUGAUCCAGCAAUGCCGCGUGGGUGAUGAAGGCCUUCGGGUUGUAAAGCCCUUUUGGCGGGGACGAUGAUGACGGUACCCGCAGAAUAAGCCCCGGCUAACUUCGUGCCAGCAGCCGCGGUAAUACGAAGGGGGCUAGCGUUGUUCGGAAUUACUGGGCGUAAAGGGCGCGUAGGCGGCCGUGCAAGUCAGAUGUGAAAGCCCUGGGCUCAACCCAGGAGGUGCAUUUGAUACUGCAUGGCUAGAGUGUCGGAGAGGAUGGUGGAAUUCCCAGUGUAAAGGUGAAAUUCGUAGAUAUUGGGAAGAACACCGGUGGCGAAGGCGACCAUCUGGACGACAACUGACGCUGAGGCGCGAAAGCGUGGGGAGCAAACAGGAUUAGAUACCCUGGUAGUCCACGCCGUAAACUAUGCGUGUUGGACGUUGGCGAGCCUAGCUCGUCGGUGUCGCAGCUAACGCGUUAAACACGCCGCCUGGGGAGUACGGCCGCAAGGUUA